rnacentral:tRNA from 1 species
GGGGGUGUAGCAUAGUGGUGGUGCAUCCGGCUGAUAAUGCGGAAGCAGAAACCGGAAGGUCCCAGGUCCGAUCCCUGGCACCCCCA